rnacentral:rRNA from 1 species
GCAAGAUUAAAACUCAAAGGAAUAGACGGGGACCCGCACAAGUGGUGGAGCAUGUGGUUUAAUUCGAAGAUACGCGAAGAACCCUACCUAGCCUUGACAUAUUUUAGAACUCACCAGAGAUGGAGAGGUGCCUUCGGGAGCUAAUUUACAGGUGCUGCACGGCUGUCGUCAGCUCGUGUCGUGAGAUGUUGGGUUAAGUCCCGCAACGAGCGCAACCCUCGUCACUAGUUACUAACGGUUCGGCCGAGGACUCUAGUGAGACUGCCUUCGUAAGGAGGAGGAAGGUGAGGACGACGUCAAGUCAUCAUGGCCCUUACGGCUAGGGCAACACACGUGCUACAAUGGCCAGGACAGUGAGAAGCGAUACCGCGAGGUGGAGCAAAUCUAUAAACCUGGUCUCAGUUCGGAUUGUAGUCUGCAACUCGACUACAUGAAGCUGGAAUCACUAGUAAUCGUAGAUCAGCUAUGCUACGGUGAAUACGUUCCCGGGUCUUGUACUCACCGCCCGUCACACCAUGGGAGUUGAUUUCACCCGAAGCGGGGAAGCUAAACUGGCUACCCUCCACGGUGGAAUUAGCGACUGGGGUGAAGUCGUAACAAGGUA